rnacentral:lncRNA from 1 species
AGAUCAUCAUGAUGACUUGCAAGCAACUCAUUAUGCUUUGGUAUCGGACUACCUGAAUUUUUCAUUCAGUGAUGAAAGAUUUCUGGACAUAGUCAAGUGCUUGUGAAGUCGGUAUGUGAGUCAAGAUGGAAUUGACCCCUCUGAAUAAGUAGGAGUUAAUGUAUCUAUGUGUUUCAAUUCAGUAAAAUCUUGACCGGGGUAAUCUAUGUGAUGGAUUUUGAAAAUUGAAAUACAAUGU